rnacentral:rRNA from 1 species
GUACAGGCUUAACACAUGCAAGUCGAGGGGCAUCGGGUAGAAAGCUUGCUUUCUUUGCCGGCGACCGGCGCACGGGUGAGUAACACGUAUCCAACCUGCCCUUUACUCGGGGAUAGCCUUUCGAAAGAAAGAUUAAUACCCGAUAGUAUAAUGAUUCCGCAUGGUUUCAUUAUUAAAGGAUUCCGGUAAAGGAUGGGGAUGCGUUCCAUUAGGUUGUUGGUGAGGUAACGGCUCACCAAGCCUUCGAUGGAUAGGGGUUCUGAGAGGAAGGUCCCCCACAUUGGAACUGAGACACGGUCCAAACUCCUACGGGAGGCAGCAGUGAGGAAUAUUGGUCAAUGGGCGCUAGCCUGAACCAGCCAAGUAGCGUGAAGGAUGAAGGCUCUAUGGGUCGUAAACUUCUUUUAUAUAAGAAUAAAGUGCAGUAUGUAUACUGUUUUGUAUGUAUUAUAUGAAUAAGGAUCGGCUAACUCCGUGCCAGCAGCCGCGGUAAUACGGAGGAUCCGAGCGUUAUCCGGAUUUAUUGGGUUUAAAGGGAGCGUAGGUGGACUGGUAAGUCAGUUGUGAAAGUUUGCGGCUCGACCGUAAAAUUGCAGUUGAUACUGUCAGUCUUGAGUACAGUAGAGGUGGGCGGAAUUCGUGGUGUAGCGGUGAAAUGCUUAGAUAUCACGAAGAACUCCGAUUGCGAAGGCAGCUCACUGGACUGCAACUGACACUGAUGCUCGAAAGUGUGGGUAUCAAACAGGAUUAGAUACCCUGGUAGUCCACACAGUAAACGAUGAAUACUCGCUGUUUGCGAUAUACAGUAAGCGGCCAAGCGAAAGCAUUAAGUAUUCCACCUGGGGAGUACGCCGGCAACGGUGAAACUCAAAGGAAUUGACGGGGGCCCGCACAAGCGGAGGAACAUGUGGUUUAAUUCGAUGAUACGCGAGGAACCUUACCCGGGCUUAAAUUGCAGUGGAAUGAUGUGGAAACAUGUCAGUGAGCAAUCACCGCUGUGAAGGUGCUGCAUGGUUGUCGUCAGCUCGUGCCGUGAGGUGUCGGCUUAAGUGCCAUAACGAGCGCAACCCUUAUCUUCAGUUACUAACAGGUCAUGCUGAGGACUCUGGAGAGACUGCCGUCGUAAGAUGUGAGGAAGGUGGGGAUGACGUCAAAUCAGCACGGCCCUUACGUCCGGGGCUACACACGUGUUACAAUGGGGGGUACAGAAGGCAGCUAGCGGGUGACCGUAUGCUAAUCCCAAAAUCCUCUCUCAGUUCGGAUCGAAGUCUGCAACCCGACUUCGUGAAGCUGGAUUCGCUAGUAAUCGCGCAUCAGCCACGGCGCGGUGAAUACGUUCCCGGGCCUUGUACACACCGCCCGUCAAGCCAUGGGAGCCGGGGGUACCUGAAGUACGUAACCGCAAGGAUCGUCCUAGGGUAAAACUGGUGACUGGGGC